rnacentral:lncRNA from 1 species
GGUGGAUUUGCUUGGGGAGGACUUCCUAGGGCUGAGGUGGUGCACAGAGCUUUCUUUGAGAGGCAGUGGAAAGGUUUCGCCCCAGGAAGGGACACAGAUAGUUGGUGAUCUUUUCUUCCCUUCCAGCUGCAGGAGCAGCUCCAGCCCAAGCUGAAGUCCCAGCUGCAGAGCCUGUGCCAGCUCUACCUGCAGCUCCCUCCCCAGCUCUGCCACCGCAGCCAGAGCCAGCACCAGGAACUCCUCCUCCAGCUGCACAGCUGAUGCUGCCGCUGGUGGCUCCUCAGCAGGUCUCAGCUCCUGACCUCCCACUGGAGCCAGCUCCUGCCCCACCACAGCCGUUCCCCUCCCAGGCAGAUUUACUUAUUAUUGCCUUUAUUGUUGCCCUUAUUUCCCAGAGUGCCCCUCGGGAAUACACGAAAGUACAUGCUGAUCGGAAGGCGGCGGCUUUCGAAAGGCCCAGCUGUGGACCGUGGAAAGGUCCUCCUUCUCUGCCGCAAAUACUGACGCGUGCAGGAGCGCACUCUCACACCCGGGGGCUCCGCGCGAGGAGAAACUUCUGCCGCGAUCCGGCUGUGGAGCCCGAGGUGGGGCGGUGCCUCUCCGAGCACUGGCGUAGCUGCGUGGCGCGGCCUCUUCCUUCAGGGCCGCGCCCCAGGGCAGGGAGACGGAAGGCUGAGCCCCGGCGCCACCCAGCGUCCUCCCGGUGCAGUGCAUGUGGGAGCCCGAAACCCGGGACACAGAUGGAGAUUGUGCCUAGGCUGGCUAGGAGAGUUAAACAACAGAUCUCCUUUAGAAGGACAAAGGGACAAAGGAACACGGGGCGUUUUUUCGCCUGUCAGACGAAUCAUUUGAAGGAUAGGAACUGGAGCGCCAGUCGUGUACUAAAUCCGGCACCCCCCUCCACACACCGAUGA